rnacentral:sRNA from 1 species
GACCUCGUUGCGGCUACCCGCUUGGUAGCAGU